UUAGAGUUUGAUCCUGGCUCAGAACGUACGCUGGCGGCACGCCUAAUACAUGCAAGUCGAACGAAGUAGCAAUACUUAGUGGCAGACGGGUGAGUAACAUGUAGGUAUCUACCCUUUGGCCUGGAAUAACACGAGGAAACUUGUGCUAAUACCGGAUAAGUCUUUACGGAGAAAGCUUUAUGCACCAUUGGAUGAGCCUGCACUUGAUUAGUUUGUUGGUGGGGUAAUGGCCUACCAAGACAAUGAUCAAUAGCUGAUUUGAGAGGAUGAUCAGCCACAUUGGGACUGAGACACGGCCCAAACUCCUACGGGAGGCAGCAGUAGGGAAUCUUGCACAAUGGAGGAAACUCUGAUGCAGCGAUGCCGCGUGAGUGAAGAAGGCCUUUGGGUUGUAAAGCUCUUUCGUCGGGGAAGAAAAUGACUGUACCCGAAUAAGAAGGUCCGGCUAACUUCGUGCCAGCAGCCGCGGUAAUACGAAGGGACCUAGCGUAGUUCGGAAUUACUGGGCUUAAAGAGUUCGUAGGUGGUUAAAAAAGUUGGUGGUGAAAUCCCAGAGCUUAACUCUGGAACUGCCAUCAAAACUUUUUAGCUAGAGUAUGAUAGAGGAAAGCAGAAUUUCUAGUGUAGAGGUGAAAUUCGUAGAUAUUAGAAAGAAUACCGAUUGCGAAGGCAGCUUUCUGGAUCAUUACUGACACUGAGGAACGAAAGCAUGGGUAGCGAAGAGGAUUAGAUACCCUCGUAGUCCAUGCCGUAAACGAUGUGUGUUAGACGUUGGAAAUUUAUUUUCAGUGUCGCAGCGAAAGCGAUAAACACACCGCCUGGGGAGUACGACCGCAAGGUUAAAACUCAAAUGAAUUGACGGGGACCCGCACAAGUAGUGGAGCAUGUGGUUUAAUUCGAAGAUACGCGCAGAACCUUACCAACACUUGACAUGUUCGUCGCGACUCUAAGAGAUUAGAGUUUUCGGUUCGGCCGGACGAAACACAGGUGCUGCAUGGCUGUCGUCAGCUCGUGUCGUGAGAUGUUGGGUUAAGUCCCGCAACGAGCGCAACCCUUACUUUUAGUUGCCAUCAUUUAGUUGGGCACUCUGAGAGAACUGCCAGUGAUAAGCUGGAGGAAGGUGGGGAUGACGUCAAGUCCUCAUGGCCCUUAUGUGUUGGGCUACACACGUGCUACAAUGGUAUCUACAACAGGAAGCAAGAUGGCAACAUUAAGCAAAUCCCAAAAAGAUACCUCAGUUCGGAUUGCACUCUGCAACUCGAGUGCAUGAAGCUGGAAUUACUAGUAAUCGUGGAUCAGCGUGCCACGGUGAAUACGUUCCCGGGUCUUGUACACACCGCCCGUCACACCAUGGGAGUUGGUUCUACCUUAAGGCAAAGUUUAAAACCUUUGACCACGGUAUAGUCAGCGACUGGGGUGAAGUCGUAACAAGGUAACC
rnacentral:rRNA from 1 species